GACGUAGGGGGCCAGCGUUGUUCGGAAUUACUGGGUGUAAAGGGUUCGUAGGCGGUGCGGCAAGUCGGGAGUGAAAUCUCUGGGCUUAACCCAGAGGCUGCUUCCGAAACUGCUGUGCUUGAGUGUGGGAGAGGCGCGUGGAAUUGCAGGUGUAGCGGUGAAAUGCGUAGAUAUCUGCAGGAACACCCGUGGCGAAAGCGGCGCGCUGGACCACUACUGACGCUGAGGAACGAAAGCGUGGGGAGCAAACGGG
rnacentral:rRNA from 1 species